rnacentral:lncRNA from 1 species
CAUAAAUGCGAAAGAACUACAUACUGUGCGUGUUGUGGGGGCUAAGUCAGGCGAACAUUGAUGUUCCCCUGCCUUCCCUGAAAUUCUACCUCUUGGAAAUAAUUCUGUUGAUUUAAGCCUUUACCUCAUGCACUGAUUGGGAAUCUUUUUUUAGUUUAGUGAUCCAACUGGAGAGGAAAAACCAUCCCGACUUUGAAAGGGUUUCCUUUCCUGGGUCUAAACAAUUCAGAGAUUACUGUUCAUCAGUCUGAAUUGCUUUUUCUUUUACCCUUUCCAUUUUGAAGUUCAUGUUGCCUCU